AUGGCCAGUGAUGGGUCCGCCACUGCCGCACUGUCUCUGAACUUUGUGGAGACGUGGAAGGAGAGCGGUGGCGCCGUGAGGACCUCGGCGUCUGCUGCCGCGACCACGAGCAUGACCAUUGCGUCCAAGACAAGGAACAUGACACAGUAUUUUUCUGGAUUACCAGAAGACAAGGACCAGGACCACAGCAAACAUCCUGAGUUGGAAGACAAAAGUAUUAAUGCAACCGUGGAAGGGGUGGAAGGGAAAAUAUUUGACGAUGGUUUUUUCUCCCAACCUGGCAAGGUAUUUUACUACCUAUAUUAA
rnacentral:rRNA from 1 species